AACGAACGCUGGCGGCAUGCCUAACACAUGCAAGUCGAACGGACCCUUCGGGGUUAGUGGCGCACGGGUGCGUAACGCGUGGGAAUCUGCCCUUGGGUUCGGAAUAACUCGCCGAAAGGCGUGCUAAUACCGGAUGAUGUCGUAAGACCAAAGAUUUAUCGCCCAAGGAUGAGCCCGCGUAAGAUUAGCUAGUUGGUGGGGUAAAGGCCCACCAAGGCGACGAUCUUUAGCUGGUCUGAGAGGAUGAUCAGCCACACUGGGACUGAGACACGGCCCAGACUCCUACGGGAGGCAGCAGUGGGGAAUAUUGGACAAUGGGCGAAAGCCUGAUCCAGCAAUGCCGCGUGAGUGAUGAAGGCCUUAGGGUUGUAAAGCUCUUUUACCCGGGAUGAUAAUGACAGUACCGGGAGAAUAAGCUCCGGCUAACUCCGUGCCAGCAGCCGCGGUAAUACGGAGGGAGCUAGCGUUGUUCGGAAUUACUGGGCGUAAAGCGCACGUAGGCGGCUUUGUAAGUCAGAGGUGAAAGCCUGGAGCUCAACUCCAGAACUGCCUUUGAGACUGCAUCGCUUGAAUCCAGGAGAGGUGAGUGGAAUUCCGAGUGUAGAGGUGAAAUUCGUAGAUAUUCGGAAGAACACCAGUGGCGAAGGCGGCUCACUGGACUGGUAUUGACGCUGAGGUGCGAAAGCGUGGGGAGCAAACAGG
rnacentral:rRNA from 1 species